CCAUUCAUAAAGUCCACCAGCGUGUUGUAUUGUACGCUGCCUGGUCGAGUUGGCCAUACUUCAUCACACUGAGAUCAGAGGAGAGAUAUCCAGCCACGUAAGCAUUGUCAGUACAAUACAGCAGCCCUGAAAUCCCAUACUACCAUUAUCAGAUGAUGCAACAUCGCCGAGAGUUUCCUUACGUCGACCAGAACCUGUAGCCUAUUCAGAGAUACUCCGAUAUUCAGAAGCAGAGCGUUUCUCUUCCACCCAGCCUUCAGUCCUCCAGUCCUCCAGUCCUCCAGUUCUCCAGUCCUCCAGUCCUUCAGUCCUCCAGUCCUCCAGUCCUCCAGUCCUCCAGUCCUCUAGUCCUCCAGUCCUCCAGUCCUCAUUGCACCCAGUAAUUACCCUCACACAUGCAGCCUGAUGGCGUGACGUGAUAGAGAAAAGUGAACGGUGAAUGAACGCAGCCAUCUCCUUCCACUACAACUACUGCCAGCCUCCGCCUCCUCCUCUCUCUCUCCUCGUCUGCUGUUGUCUGUUGAUAUGAAAAAGGUGAUUAUUUAAACGAGCUGGGACGGGGUCGUUAUCUAACCCUGUUAGUCAGGACAAGAGAGGGAGAUGGGUAGAGGAGAGCAGUGCCAAAUUAGAAUCAGGUCUGCUUGAUCAGAUCUUCUCUGUUGUGCCCACACAACACAACACAGAGGGUUGGGGCACGUGGUUCUCUGUUUCAACGUGAGGAAGACUUCUCAAUAGACUGGUCGCUUCUUCUGUUGACUAGACUAGGACCUUGUUAAUCUCUGAUUGUCUUACAGGUCUGGAGAGAGAGCGAG